rnacentral:tRNA from 1 species
GGUGGCUCAAUGUAGAGAGUGCUUGCCUUGCAUGCAUGAGGCCCUAGGUUCAAUUCCUCAGCACCA